GGUUGGAUCAUUACUGAUUACCAGCUCUAUGGGUUGAUUCGCAAGAGUCCCCGUAGGGUUGAUCAACCCUUUGUGCACUGUAUCGUUUUUUGGGUUUCCUACAUAGCUGGGUGUUUAUUUUUAUUCACGCCCAACUGGAGGCCCAGCAUUUAUACAAACCAUACCAAUUUUGACUUAAUCCUAUGAAAAUAGAAACAACUUUUGACAACGGAUCUCUUGGCUCUCGCAACGAUGAAGAACGCAGCGAAAUGCGAUACGUAAUGUGAAUUGCUUUCCGUGAAUCAUCGAAUCUUUGAACGCACAUUGCACUCCUUUGGAGUAUGCCUGUUUGAGAAUCUAUAGUAUUUAUUUUUGGCUUUCUAGCAAUAGGGGGCCAAAAGAUUUGAGGUGUCUCCUCUACCUAGUAGAGAGAGUACCUUUAAUAGUAUAGCCUCUUUUGUGGUAAAUUACUCUGCAGAACAGUAUUUGAAUGGAACUUUGUUUCUUUAAUGCCCAAUAUGCAGAUUGCCUAUAAAAAGGGGGUCCAUAACUUGAAAGUAACCCAGUUACUUGAACCAUGGUCUCAAAUCAGGUAGGAAUACCCGCUGAACUUAAGCAUAUCAAUAAGCGGAGGAAAAGAAACUAACAAGGAUUCCCCUAGUAACGGCGAGUGAAGCGGGAACAGCUCAAAUUUGAAAUCUCCUUCGGGCGAAUUGUAGUUUAGAGAAGCGUUUUCUGUUGGACGGUAGGUACAAGUUCUUUGGAACAAGACAUCAUAGAGGGUGAAAAUCCCGUCUUUGACCUACUUGAAGGCUUUGUGAUACGUUUUCCAAGAGUCGGUUUGUUUGGGAAUGCAGACCAAAAUGGGAGGUAAAUACCUUCUAAAGCUAAAUAUUGGCGAGAGACCGAUAGCGAACAAGUACCGUGAGGGAAAGAUGAAAAGAACUUUGAAAAGAGAGUUAAACAGUACGUGAAAUUGUCAAAAGGGAAACGUUUGAAACCAGUAUUGCUGGCGGGAAUUCAGCCCUAGUUUACUAUGGUGUAUUUUCUCGUUAGCGAGUCAACAUCAGUUUGGCUUGGAGCAAAAAGCCAUGGAAAGGUAGCCCUCGGGCAUUAUAGACCAUGGUCAUACUCUAGGCUGGACUGAGGACUGCAGAGUUUUUGGCUUCGGCACACCAACUCUUAGGAUGUUGACGAAAUGGUUUUAAGCGACCCGUCUUGAAACACGGACCAAGGAGUCUAACAUAUAUGCGAGUAUUUGGGUGGUAAACCCUUAUGCGUAAUGAAAGUGAAAAGGUGGGAUCCCUCGGGGUGCACCAUCGACCGCGCCAGAUUAUUACUAUCUCGGCGUGAGUAUGAGCAUACAUGCUGGGACCCGAAAGAUGGUGAACUAUGCCUGAAUAGGGUGAAGCCAGAGGAAACUCUGGUGGAAGCUCGUAGGGGUUCUGACGUGCAAAUCGAUCUUAGAAUUUGGGUAUAGGGGCGAAAGACUAAUCGAACCAUCUAGUAGCUGGUUCCCUC
rnacentral:misc_RNA from 1 species